rnacentral:rRNA from 1 species
AUUGAACGCUGGCGGCAGGCCUAACACAUGCAAGUCGAGCGGAUGAAGGGAGCUUGCUCCUGGAUUCAGCGGCGGACGGGUGAGUAAUGCCUAGGAAUCUGCCUGGUAGUGGGGGAUAACGUCCGGAAACGGACGCUAAUACCGCAUACGUCCUGAGGGAGAAAGUGGGGGAUCUUCGGACCUCACGCUAUCAGAUGAGCCUAGGUCGGAUUAGCUAGUUGGUGGGGUAAAGGCCCACCAAGGCGACGAUCCGUAACUGGUCUGAGAGGAUGAUCAGUCACACUGGAACUGAGACACGGUCCAGACUCCUACGGGAGGCAGCAGUGGGGAAUAUUGGACAAUGGGCGAAAGCCUGAUCCAGCCAUGCCGCGUGUGUGAAGAAGGUCUUCGGAUUGUAAAGCACUUUAAGUUGGGAGGAAGGGCAGUAAGUUAAUACCUUGCUGUUUUGACGUUACCAACAGAAUAAGCACCGGCUAACUUCGUG